rnacentral:siRNA from 1 species
ACAGGUGGUGGAACAAAUAUGAG